rnacentral:rRNA from 1 species
AUGGGGAACAGCCUGCGGUGCUGCCUGGCGUGCAUGCUCCCCUGCGGCGCGCUGGACGUCGUCCGCGUGGUGCACCUCAGCGGCCACGUCGACGAGUUCACCUGCCCGCUCAUCGCCUCCGACGUGCUGGCCGCGCACCCCAGCCACGCGCUCACCGCCGCGGGCUCCGCCGGCGCCGCCAGGAGGAUCGUCAUCGUGUCGCCCGACUCGGAGCUCAGGCGCGGCCGCAUCUACUUCCUCAUCCCCACGGCCUGCUCCGCGCCGGCGGCCGAGCUGAAGCGGCCCAAGCAGCAGCAGCAGGGCCACGGCGCGUGCCAGUCCAAGACGAAGAGGCGCCACGGCCACGGCCACCGCAAGGGCGGCACGGCGGUGGCCGCCGCGGCGAGCACGGCGGAGCAGGACAACUACCUGCGGGAGCUCCUGUCCGAGAAGCGGGAGUCGGGCCACCGGCGGCGGCGCAGCAGCAGCGCCCGCGCCGGCGUGUGGCGGCCGCGGCUCGAGAGCAUAGCCGAGGAGUCCUCCGACUAG